rnacentral:rRNA from 1 species
UACGUAGGGUGCGAGCGUUGUCCGGAAUUACUGGGCGUAAAGAGCUCGUAGGCGGUUUGUCGCGUCUGCUGUGAAAACUGGAGGCUCAACCUCCAGCCUGCAGUGGGUACGGGCAAACUAGAGUGCGGUAGGGGAGAUUGGAAUUUCCGGUGUAGCGGUGAAAUGCGUAGAUAUCGGAAGGAACACCAGUGGCGAAAGCGGCUUCCUGGUCCAGCACCGACGUCAGGCACGAAAGCGUGGGGAGCAAACAGG